rnacentral:rRNA from 1 species
UGCUUAUUGUUAAUAAAUAAUAAGUAAUCCCUGCCCAGUGAUAUAUUUAACGGCCGCGGUAUCCUGACCGUGCAAAGGUAGCAUAAUCAUUUGCCCUCUAAUUAAGGGCUAGCAUGAACGGGUAGACGAGGAUUUAUCUGUCUCUAGUAUAACAAUGUAAAUUAAUCUUCAGGUGAAGAAGCCUGAAUUAUAAUAAAAGACAAGAAGACCCUGUCGAGCUUAAUUUAAAGUUUAAAUUACAAAGAAACCUUAAAUUAAAAUUUUAUUGGGGCGAUAAAGGAAUAAAUUAAACUUCCUAAAAAUAUAAGAUUUUAUAUCUUUUCAAUGACCCAUCUAUGAGCAUAAAAAAUAGCUACCGCAGGGAUAACAGACUUAUCUUUCUCAAGAGCCCAAAUCUAAAGAAAGGUUUAGCACCUCGAUGUUGGCUUAGGAAUUCUUUUAAAUGCAACCAUUAAUAAGAAGGUUUGUUCAACCUUUAAAAU